AGAUUGAACGCUGGCGGCAUGCCUAACACAUGCAAGUCGAACGGGAGUAGCAAUACUCUAGUGGCGGACGGGUGAGGAAUACGUAGGAAUUUGCCCUUAAGUGGGGGAUAACCCGGGGAAACCCGGAUUAAUACCGCAUGACCUCGAAAGAGCAAAGUGGGGGAUCGCAAGACCUCACGCUUUUGGAGAAGCCUACGUCGGAUUAGCUAGUUGGUGAGGUAAUGGCUCACCAAGGCACGAUCCGUAACUGGUCUGAGAGGAUGAUCAGUCACACCGG
rnacentral:rRNA from 1 species